CGACAUACAGGACACAACAAUGCUCUGUCUCUCUCAAACACAAACGCACACACACACACAAAAUCUCUCACUCACUUUCACACGGACGCUCACACACAAAUGUCUCUCGGCAUGAUGAAAAUAGACGUGGAUCACAAAUCCACAACGGUGUUCCACAAGGCUGUGUGCUAAGACCAACAUCAUUCUUCAAAAGCAGGUUGCCAUGAAGCAAAACAAAUUUAUUUUAACAGCGAAUGGAUUUUAUAUCAGGAAGAGAUGCUGCAGCCGUGUUCACCUCCCGUCGAAUGGUGGUGCUGCUGGUGCGGGCGCAACUCCGCUGCCGUGGUGAGCCGAUGGCCGCACAGCAUGCAGACGCAUGGCAAGGCUUCAGCGUGCGUUUGUAGGUGGUCGCGCAUUACCUCCACACAGUCCGCCACGCCGCCGCAAACCACGCACACCAGCGAGGAGGCGUCUGUGUGUGUCUCCAGGGUGCUCUUCUGGAUGAAAGUCUUCCCGCAGCUUAAGCAGGCGAAUGGCCGCUCCCCCGUGUGGAUCCUGUGGUGGCUCUUGAGCGUGCUGGCCUGGUUGAAGCUCUUCCCGCACGUGUCACAUCUGAAGGGCUUCUCGCCCGUGUGGAUGAGCAGGUGGCGCCGCAGGCUGCCGAGGACCUUGAAGGCCUUCUUGCAAUAGUGGCAGCGAUGGACGCGGUCGCGGCGCACCACAUGCAAGCGCUGAUGCAUCUUCAGGCCUUGCGCUUGGUAGAAGCUCUUGUCACACUGUGUGCACUUAAAAGGUCGCUCCUCAUUGUGCAUUCGAAGGUGGUCCAGCAGGAUCUGCUUGAGUGUGAAACCCUGACCACACACAUCACACGUGUGAGCACGCUCACCUGGAAAACAACAAGCAAAUGUUAUGUGUUGACUCCUUUAUCACUAUAUUUGCAAACCAAACUUUAUUGCUCAAGGGGCACAUCUCAUUAUUGAAACAGACAGAUAAACCAGAUCUUUUGUAGAUUAGGUGCAAAUAUGACUCUAUAAAGUGAUGGACUAAUUAUUUCCCUGGCCGAUUAUCGGGGCCAAUAGUUGGCAUUUUGCCCAUCGAACCAAACUAAGAAACAAAAGAAAACAAAAAUCUGUCUAUGUAAUGAAACCACACGUGUGUUGUUUUGGAUUCCUCAAGUCAACAUGUCUGUUUUUAUUUUCACUUUAAAUCCUCUUUUGGCCAAAUUUGAAACUUUCUACAUCAAUUUGAACGUAAUUUAAGAUUUUUUUUAAGACCUGUUUCAGACCGGCUUGAUCGGACGCAAGACUUCAGUAACAUGCAUGUAGCACCCAAUAAGGUGAGAACUGACCCGUGUGCUGCCGCAUGUGCACAUUGAGGCUGCGCUGGAGGGCAAAAGUGCGUCCGCAGAGUGAACAUGAGAAGUUCUUGAGCGCUGUGUGGCGGACUCUGUUGCUGAAGUUGCUGCCGCUCCGUUUGCUGGCCGGAACAUCAGGUUUGGUCCCUUUUCUGUGGCUGGCGUCACUGACGUCUUCCGUCUCCU